CAGGUAUCACCGAACAGCAAAAGUAUCCACAAAGCGUUCCUAAACUAUCCGGUUCAACUCACAGACAUGAAUGAUUAUAAGAUCAAGAAAGUCCGCAGCCUUAAGCUCUUCGGCGGCGGCCUCAAGUACCAGCUUCGCUCCGUGGCCUGCCACCGCGGCUCCAUGACCGGCGGCCACUACACCGCCAUCUGCAAGAAGGCCGACAGGUGGUUCAAGUUCAGUGACCAGCAGGUGGAGCCCGUCCAGUCACCGCUCGUCCAGGAGGCGCACAUCUCUUCUACGAGGCGGAAUGAGCGAAAAGCAUUCUUCCGAAAUUGCCUUAGAACUGAUGUGAAGCACACACACUCACACAAACACAGUCUCCUCUCUCUCUCUCUCUCUCUCUCUCUCUCUCUCUCUCUCUCUCUCUCUCUCACACACACACACACACACACACACACACACACACACACUUAUACAUACAUACAUACAUGUGUGCAUAUGUGUGUGUGUCCACCACCCACAAGCUGUCUUGUGGUGAUUUGGGUUUAACAGUGCCUUAGAAAGUAGGCUUUAAUAUGGCAUUUCUGUAUGUGAGUUUUUAGAAAUUUGGAUAUGAUAUGUUAUGCUAGAAAUAUGAAUGUUAAUUUGGGUUCAGAUUAUGGGUAAUUUUGAUAUACAUAAAUUCGAAUGAAUUGCAAUGCUGAUUGUAUCUAUCAAUAAACCGUGUGUCAGUA